CCCCUCCCCGUUUGAAAGCGGCGGGGGUGGGGGUGGGGGGCGAAGGAGGGCCGUUGGCGGCCCUGCGCCGCCCCGGGUUGGGGCACCUUUCGGGGUCCAGUGCGCCGAAUGUGGAGACGGAACAGGAGCGGUUCCCUGGCUCCUGGGGCGUGGUGGCGAAGGCGCCGUCAGGGGGCCGGAGUCCUUAACCUGCCACACAGCUCUCCCCACCGCUGCCCCGCGGCCACUGCAGCCCCACCGGCAGCACAGAAAGGGUCCUGCGUGUCUCGGCGCUGUGUGUUCCAGAGCAAGUGACUCAACAACUCUGGGCCCUUUCUUCCUCCUAAUGACUAGGAGCUCUGGCAGGGGACCGACUGCGUGCCAGGGGCCAUGCUAAGCACUUUCUACACAUCAGCCCAGUGCCUGCCCCCAGUAACUAACUCUGGGUUGAGUGCUGACAUCUGCCCAUUUCGCAGAUGGGGAAAAAAGAGCCACUGGGGGUUUAAGUUACUCUUCCGGAGUGGCGGGAGGGAUUCAGCCCCAGGCAGUGGACUCCAAGCCCCACGCCAGGCAAACAUGUGGUCCCGUGGCCGGGCCCCUUCUGUCCUCCCCACCGCCCUGGCUCAGGCUGGGAGGCCCUUGUGCGAAUCCAGGCCUCGCUGGGCCUCCUCUUCCCGUCUACGAAAUGACGUCUCUUCCAGCUUCAAGAGUCUCUGAGUCUCUGACUUCAGAGCAGUUGACAGUGAGCCGCCCCUGCCUGCCAGCUGGAACCCAGAGUGAGCCUGGGGACAAAGGUGCCGGUGACUCAGGAAAGUCCCCUGGCACGCAUCUCAGCAACCAGGAAGCAGGUGACCACAGAUCAGAGGGAAAAGGCAGGGAUAACAAAAUGGCUUGUCCCGGAGGGCUGCGAGGGGGGUGAACUGGGACAAUCCAGGUGAAACACGCUCUCCACGGACCCGGAAAUAACUGUGUUUGGACACAUUGGUGGAAUGUUAAUCUCACCGGGACCUGUGCCUUACAGACGUAAACUCACCAAAUUUGUGCGACAGGCCUGUGAGGUAGGUUGUCCCGUACCCCCAGUUUACAGGCGAGGAGACAGAGACGCAGGGAAGACAAGUCAAGGCCUCGAGGUCGCACAGCCUGGUGCAGCUGAGCUAGAGCCCAGGCACCUUGUAGCUCCCUGGCUGUUAGCUAAGAAGACGAGCUCUGUCCUGAGUCCAAAGAUGCUGGUGGGUCGGGGCAGGGAUGGCCUCCGGUGCCUCACGUGUGCUCCCCGUUUCACACCCAGGGCAACUGAGGCCCUGAUGGGUCCCCGUCUGGACGCAAACAGGCGGGACACGUGCCAGAAGAUGAGACGCGUCGAGGCCCCCUUGUGUUAACCUCACUUGGGAGCCACAGCCUCCCGGCCCCAGCAGAGCCACGCCCCUGCUCCCGCUCUGAGCACAUGGCCUCCCUGCAGCUGGAAAGAGGGUCCCCAUCUCCCCCCGGGCCCCGUGAACCACUGCCUGCACUCCCCAUCUUCCUUCCUAGGGCGUGGG